CCUACGGGAGGCAGCAGGGAGGAAUAUUGGGCAAUGGACGAGAGUCUGAACCAGCCAAGUAGCGUGAAGGAUGACUGCCCUAUGGGUUGUAAACUUCUUUUAUAUGGGAAUAAAAUGUUCCACGUGUGCGCUUUUGCAUGUACCCUAUGAAUAAGGAUCCGCUAACUCCGUGCCAGCAGCCGCGGUAAUACGGAGGUUCCGAGCGUUAUCCGGAUUUAUUGGGUUUAAAGGGUGCGUAGGUGGAUUGUUAAGUCAGUUGUGAAAGUUUGCGGCUCAACCGUAAAAUUGCAGUUGAAACUGGCAGUCUGGAGUACAGUAGAGGUAGGCGGAAUUCGUGGUGUAGCGGUGAAAUGCUUAGAUAUCACGAAGAACUCCGAUUGCGAAGGCAGUUCACUGGACUGCAACUGACACUGAGGCUCGAAAGUGUGGGUAUCAAACAGGAUUAGAUACCCCAGUAGUC
rnacentral:rRNA from 1 species